rnacentral:rRNA from 1 species
GAUGAGUGGCGAACGGGUGAGUAACGCGCGAGUAACUCCCCUUGGGGAGGGGGAUAACCAUCUGAAAAGGUGGCUAAUACACCAUAUUCUCUUUUCUCAUAAGAGGAAGGAGGAAAGGUGGCGCAAGCUGCCACCCCGAGAGAGGCUCGCGUCCCAUCAGCUAGUUGGUAGGGUAAUGGCCUACCAAGGCUAUGACGGGUAGCUGGUCUGAGAGGAUGGUCAGCCACACUGGGACUGAGACACGGCCCAGACUCCUACGGGAGGCAGCAGUGAGGAAUCUUGGGCAAUGGGCGAAAGCCUGACCCAGCGACGCCGCGUGGAGGAAGAAGGCCUUCGGGUCGUAAACUCCUGUUUGGGGAGAAGAACAAGAGAGAAGUUAAUAGCUUCUCUCUCUGACGGUAUCCCCGGAGAAAGCUCCGGCUAAUUACGUGCCAGCAGCCGCGGUAAUACGUAAGGAGCGAGCGUUGUCCGGAUUUACUGGGCGUAAAGGGCUCGUAGGUGGUUUCUUAGGUCUCACGUGAAAUUCCCUGGCUCAACCAGGGAGGGUCGUGGGAAACCGAGAGGCUAGAGGGCAGGAGAGGAGAGUGGAAUUCCCGGUGUAGCGGUGAAAUGCGUAGAGAUCGGGAGGAACACCAGUGGUGAAGACGGCUCUCUGGACUGUCCCUGACACUGAGGAGCGAAAGCCAGGGGAGCAAACCGGAUUAGAUACCCGGGUAGUCCUGGCCGUAAACGAUGGGUACUAGGUGUGGGGGGUUCGACCCCCUCCGUGCCGCAGUUAACGCAUUAAGUACCCCGCCUGGGGAGUACGGCCGCAAGGUUGAAACUCAAAUGAAUUGACGG